ACGGAAAACCGUAAAGGGAGGACUCUUUGGUGGUACAGACUGUUCGGUUCAACAGUGAAUAAAAAAAGGAGUCCAAAAGCACCCGUGGGAGAUGGACAGCGCGCCGGCCCACUGCAGAGCAAAGCCGCCUCCUCACAUGGCCCAGCCACUAUUACAACAACAGCUGGAAGUCUAAAAACGGGGAAGAGUCGCUGGAGGUGCAGAGUCUUUGACUGCUGCGGAAGAAAACGUCGAGUCGCUCCAGCCGCAGACGCCGAGGGACGGCAGAGGACCCCUCGCUCGCCUCACAGGAGCCCCGUCAAAGCUACAGACAGGACUCUGUGUGCUGCAGAUGAUGUUGAUGAGGUGGUUGAGUUCAAAGCUCCCACUGACGAUGAGGAGGAAGCAGCAGAGAAGGGAGCAAAAAGAAGAAAAUGGACAAGCUGCCCAUUCUUAUGGCUUUAAUGUUGCAGACCGUGUGCAAGACACUGGCCAAGCAGGGCUCGUCCUGCAAAAGCACCGUGACGCAGGCCAUCGGCUCCCAGAGCCUCGGAGGUCAGCAGGACUGGCUUGGGUUUCCAAACCCGC